rnacentral:rRNA from 1 species
AAAUUGAAGAGUUUGAUCAUGGCUCAGAUUGAACGCUGGCGGCAGGCCUAACACAUGCAAGUCGAACGGUAACAGGAAACAGCUUGCUGUUUCGCUGACGAGUGGCGGACGGGUGAGUAAUGUCUGGGAAACUGCCUGAUGGAGGGGGAUAACUACUGGAAACGGUAGCUAAUACCGCAUAAUGUCGCAAGACUAAAGAGGGGGACCUUCGGGCCUCUUGCCAUCGGAUGUGCCCAGAUGGGAUUAGCUAGUAGGUGGGGUAACGGCUCACCUAGGCGACGAUCCCUAGCUGGUCUGAGAGGAUGACCAGCCACACUGGAACUGAGACACGGUCCAGACUCCUACGGGAGGCAGCAGUGGGGAAUAUUGCACAAUGGGCGCAAGCCUGAUGCAGCCAUGCCGCGUGUAUGAAGAAGGCCUUCGGGUUGUAAAGUACUUUCAGCGGGGAGGA